CCUAAAAAACUCAAAAGAUCGAAAGGGAAGAUUCAUCGUCAGCGGCGUUGGCUUCGCGUCGGUGGGCGAUGUCCCGCGGUUUCUCGCGCGGGCAUGCUACCGUGCGCGCAUGACCAACGUCGUUACCGUGCACCUCUCCUCUAGAAGAACGUCGCGACCCGCUGAGUGUCGUCUACGACUCGGGUGAGGUGACUGUCGCGUCGCCGGUAAAACAGCACGCGGUAAACCCUCGGACGCCCAGCCGGCUGCCCGGCGAUAGUCGCACGGUAUCAGGCCGCAGUUUAUCUGCGUCAAGUCCGUCGCAAGCACGCGCCACGGUUACUCGGAGGUACGGACUUAGCGCCGUCCCUGGUCCUGGUCUGCUGUUGGCCGAUGGU
rnacentral:rRNA from 1 species